AUUGAACGCUGGCGGCGUGCUUAACACAUGCAAGUCGUGCGGUAACAGGCGUAGCAAUACGUGCUGACGAGCGGCGAACGGGUGCGUAAUACAUGGGAAUCCGCCCUUUAGUGGGGAAUAACCCGGCGAAAGCCGGGCUAAUGCCGCAUAAGAUCUUCGGAUGAAAGCGGGGGAUCGUAAGACCUCGCGCUGAUGGAUGGGCCCAUGUCGGAUUAGCUAGUUGGGAGGUAACGGCUCACCAAGGCGACGAUCCGUAGCUGGUCUGAGAGGACGGCCAGCCACACUGGGACUGAGACACGGCCCAGACUCCUACGGGAGGCAGCAGUGGGGAAUAUUGGACAAUGGGCGAAAGCCUGAUCCAGCGACGCCGCGUGUGUGAAGAAGGCCUGCGGGUUGUAAAGCACUUUC
rnacentral:rRNA from 1 species